rnacentral:rRNA from 1 species
AGGUUUAUACAUGCAAGUAUCCGCGCACCAGUGUAGAUGCCCUGGACACCUGAAACCACAAGUAGAUAGGAGCGGGUAUCAGGCUCACCACCAACCGUAGCCCAAGACGCCUAGCAAUUGCCACGUCCCCACGGAUUAUCAGCAGUAGUUAAUAUUAAGCAAUGAGUGUAAACUUGACUUAGCCAUAGCAAACUCAGGGUCGGUAAAUCCUGUGCCAGCCACCGCGGUCAUACAGGAGACCCAAAUUAACUUUAUAACGGCGUAAAGAGUGGUCACAUGUUAUCCAAGUAGCUAAGACUAAAAAGCAACUGAGCUGUCAUAAGCCCAAGAUGCUCAUAAGGCCUCUGUCCUCAAAGAAGAUCUUAGAACAACGAUUAAUUGAAUUCCACGAAAGCCAGGGCCCAAACUGGGAUUAGAUACCCCACUAUGCCUGGCCCUAAAUCUUGAUGUUCCACCCUACUCGAACAUCCGCCCGAGAACUACGAGCACAAACGCUUAAAACUCUAAGGACUUGGCGGUGCUCCAAACCCACCUAGAGGAGCCUGUUCUGUAAUCGAUGAUCCACGAUAUUACCUGACCAUUUCUUGCCCAUAACAGCCUAUAUACCGCCGUCGCCAGCUCACCUCCCCUGACAGCUCAACAGUGC